rnacentral:rRNA from 1 species
UAGGGAACCUUCGGCAAUGGACGAAAGUCUGACCGAGCAACGCCGCGUGAGUGAAGAAGGUUUUCGGAUCGUAAAACUCUGUUGGUAGAGAAGAACGUUGGUGAGAGUGGAAAGCUCAUCAAGUGACGGUAACUACCCAGAAAGGGACGGCUAACUACGUGCCAG